AAGUAUAUUAUCACAUAUAUUAAAUAUAUUUUAUGUGAUUCUGUCACUGUUUAUAUAGACUGAAUAAAAUGACAAGCACACAGGAAUGAAAAACAUUGAGCAAGCACCAUUUCAAGGGACACAAAACAGGCUAUUUCAGCAUCGCCUCUGCCUUCACAGCCCUUGCCGAUCAAUGUUUGUCACAGUGCUUAUUUCAAUUGGAAUGUGGAGAAACAUCAAUGUCCUGCUACAUUACUGCCAAGGCAAGGGUGAAAAAUGGGCAGAAGAUUCUUGUCCCCUUCCUCUCUUCUUGUAUCAGCAGGUAAAAUUUCACAUAGCACAUUGCAGAAUUAAUGAUCUUAAUAACAUUUUAAAAUUAAAAUCUU
ensembl:lincRNA